rnacentral:rRNA from 1 species
AGAGUUUGAUCCUGGCUCAGAUUGAACGCUGGCGGCAUGCUUUACACAUGCAAGUCGAACGGUAACAGGCCGCAAGGUGCUGACGAGUGGCGAACGGGUGAGUAAUGCAUCGGAACGUGCCCAGUCGUGGGGGAUAACGCAGCGAAAGCGUGCUAAUACCGCAUACGAUCUAUGGAUGAAAGCGGGGGACCGUAAGGCCUCGCGCGAUUGGAGCGGCCGAUGUCAGAUUAGGUAGUUGGUGGGGUAGAGGCCCACCAAGCCAACGAUCUGUAGCUGGUC